GGUCGACCCCCAAUUUUGACAGACGGCGGUUGUCAAAACUGACAAUUUGUGUUUGCUCUUUCUUUUUCAUUCUUGUUUACGUUUGUGCGUUCAGUUUUCUGUAAAAAAAAGUAUUUAUUGGUCGUGUUUGUUCAAAUGCAUCUGGACCCAAGCUCACCAAUCGCCUGCAGAUUCUUCUGGUCUCAACGUUUCCUAGCAUGAACUAGGCACAGCAACAAUCCCGUCAACCCACGAACCGUCUGUUAUAUACCUGGUUAUAGAUUGGGAGAUAAGGCGAUUCCCAGGUUGAAUCGAAUGAUGCUUUCCAUAAGCCGGACAGGAUUAUUCCGCCAGUAGAUAGAAAGUACGCGCUUAGAAGCGUACGUAUGCGGUGUUCUGAAUGCGAGUGAGGAGGAAAAAUGUUCGCGUGAUCGGCUGGUUGAGCUUGUGGUGUGUUUAUUACCAGUUGAAUUUGAAACAAAAUAUGCAAUAAAGUCU